rnacentral:lncRNA from 1 species
CUAAUUCACUUUGGCUAUGUUUGGUUGGGUGAUAAAGGUGGAAUAAAGGGUUUAUUCCAUCCUUAUCCCUAAACACAAACAAAAAAUGGUAGGAAUACUAAUUCCCUCCUUAAUAGUCUGUUAAGGGGUGGGAACUAGUGUUCCCACCCCAAGGUGGAAUAAGCUGGGAUAACCCAGCUUGUUCCACCUAUGAAGAGAGAGAAAGAGAGAGAAUUUUUAAUUUAUUAUAAAAUUUACAUUUUGUAAGUUAAAAAUUAACAUUUAUAAUUUUUAAAAUUACAAAAUUUAAAAUUUAAAUUGUUUAAUUUCAAAUUUUAAAUUUUGAUAUUUUAAUUUUUUUUAUUUAGAAUUUGAUAUUUUGUAUUUUUAAAUUAAAAUUUCAUCUUAAAUUUAAAAUUUAAAAUUUAAAAUUUUAAUUUUUUAAAAUUAUAAAUUUGAGAUUUUAAAAUUUUAAAUUUUAAUUUUGAUUUUUAAAAUUUAAAAGUUUAUAUUUUAAAUUUUAAAAUAUAAAUAUAAAAUACAAAACUUUAAAUUCUAAUAUAAAGAAAAGAAUAAUAUUAUUCUUAUUCUUAUUUAUUCUAUCUUAAUUUAAACAUUAUUUUUCUCAUUUUCAGGAAUAACCUAAUUUUCAUUCAAACGCAAAAUUGAUCUAAUUCUUUUUCUCAUUUUCAGGAAUAACCUAAUUUUCAUUCAAACGCAAAAUUGAUCUAAUUCUCGCUUAUAUCUCAAUUUAUACCUAUUCCCGGAAUACCAAUUUUUUGCUUAUCCUCGAACCAAAUGAUACCUUUGGGUCGACUAUUCUUUCUCCACUCGGGCGCUCAAAUUUUUACCGGUCACCAAAAACUCAAGACAAUUUUUUUAACCAUUUGGUUCGGGUAUAAGCAAGAACUAGGUAUUACAGGGAUAGAUGAAAAUUGGAUUAUUCCCGGGGAUAAGAAAAAUAGCGUUUGGAUAGAUAAUAUGGAAUGAAAAAAAUAAUAGGUAGUUAUAUAUAGAAAAUGAAGGUGUUGGUGGGAAUAGUUAUACCAGCUUAUUUCAGGGAUCCGAGAACUACUAUUCUCGGAUAAAAAAUUUGCGUUUGGGUAUAAAGGGAGGGAUAAGAGGUUAU